rnacentral:lncRNA from 1 species
AGCACCCACUAGGCUCAAAAUAAAACCUAGGAAACUUACGGCGAAAACCCAUCAGUUCUAACCCAACAAAAUACAUGUGAACUGAAUAUCCAACGCAGAUUUAACUGACCUAAGCAUAGAUCGUGAAUCACAUCCGGUGGAGGUGGUGAGAACGACCACCAACGACAACGGUUAAGGAAUCCAGAGGAUUCACGACCCCAAUUGGGGGUUUGAAAGUGAUGUGGAAGGGUGGUGU